AUGGACAGAAGUUGGAUAAAAGCUAGGAAAUUUUCCGAAGAAUACAUCAAUGGAGUGAAAGAGUUCAUGAAUUUCGUUCGUGAAACCUGUGCCGAGGAUGCUCAAAUUCUUUGCCCGUGCCGCAAAUAUCUCAAUGGUAAACAAGAACCUCAAGGGAAAGUGGAGGAUCAUAUUCUUAUUUAUGGGAUGUCUAGCACAUAUGAUAGGUGGAUUCAUCAUGGAGAACCAUUAAAUGUUGAAGCUGAUGCAGAUGCACAUCAUGUGGAUGGAGCUACUGAUAUCGUGGUAGAUGUUGCUGAAAAGGAUGUUCGUUUGGAGGAGGAGGAUCUAUAUGAAGAUGAUAGAAUUCCUGACAUGAUACAGGAUCUGUAUGGAUCGGAGGACACGGGUAGACAGCAGUCAAAGUUUGCAAAAGUGAUAGAAGAGGCAAAGUGCUCACUUUACGAAGGGUCUGAAACUUCAAGAUUUUCAUUUGUCGUGAAGUUACUCCACAUCAAGUCUUUCUAUCGGAUCUCCAAUGUUGCAUUUAAUGCGAUACUCGCGUUCUUGGCCAAGUCAUUCCCGAAGUGCUCGAUUCCCAAAUCUUAUGAUGAAGCACUGAAAUUUAUUCGUGCAUUGGGGCUAGGCUAUGAUUCAAUCCAUGUGUGCCCAAAUAAUUGUGUCCUUUUCAGAAAACAAUAUGCCAACCAUGACGAAUGUCCGGUAUGUGGUGCAUCGAGAUGGAAGGACUCAGAUGGGAAAAACAGAUUCCGAUGA
rnacentral:rRNA from 1 species